ACCAACAAACUCUAUUUUUCCAAAAUCUUCUAUCACUCUUGUUCCGACUCCAUUUUUUCAAAAAACUUGAAACAGUUGCCUAACUCCAUUCCACUUGCAAAACUUAGACACAUAUCC
rnacentral:ribozyme from 1 species